AUGGGAUUUUUGCUCCUGUUCAUUUUCGCUGUAGCCGCUUUGGAAGGUGUCCGGUCCCAGGUGCAGCUGGUGGAGUCCGGAGGGGAUGUGAAAAAGCCCGGAGACUCUCUCCGCCUCUCCUGCAAAGCCUCCGGGUUCACCUUCAGCAGCUACGAGAUGAGCUGGCUCCGACAGGCUCCCGGGAAGGGGCUGGAAUGGGUCGCUUAUAUUAGCAGCAGUGGGGGUACUAUAUACUACCUUGAUUCAGUGAAAGGCCGGUUCACCAUCUCCAGGGAUAAUCCCAAGAGUGAGCUGUAUCUGCAAAUGACCGGCCUGAAGCCGGAGGACACCGCCCGCUAUUACUGCUCCAGAGUUCCCAGCAUGUUCAGUAGUGUGCGGUUGAAUCGUUCUGGUAGUGGAUCCCCUUGGGGAUGA